rnacentral:rRNA from 1 species
AAUCAACGCUGGCGGCGUGCCUAACACAUGCAAGUCGAACGCGACUGGGGCUUCGGCCUCAGUUGAGUGGCGAACGGGUGAGUAACACGUGGGUGACCUACCUUCGAAUGGGGGAGUAACGUCCCGAAGGGACGGCUAAUACCGCAUAACAUCCUGCCUUUGUAACAGGCGGAGAUCAAAGCCGGGGAGUCGCAAGACCUGGCGUUUGAAGAGGGGCCCGGCGUCCGAUUAGCUAGUUGGUGAGGUAACGGCUCACCAAGGCGACGAUCGGUAGCCGG